rnacentral:rRNA from 1 species
ACUGGGCUCCCAAGCUAACGGCAUUAAGUAGACCGCCUGGGGAGUACGGCCGCAAGGUUAAAACUCAAAUGAAUUGACGGGGGCCCGCACAAGCGGUGGAGCAUGUGGUUUAAUUCGAUGCAACGCGAAGAACCUUACCUACUCUUGACAUCCACAGAACUUUCCAGAGAUGAAUUGGUGCCUUCGGGAACUGUGAGACAGGUGCUGCAUGGCUGUCGUCAGCUCGUGUUGUGAAAUGUUGGGUUAAGUCCCGCAACGAGCGCAACCCUUAUCCUUAUUUGCCAGCGAGUUAUGUCGGGAACUUUAGGGAGACUGCCGGUGAUAAACCGGAGGAAGGUGGGGACGACGUCAAGUCAUCAUGGCCCUUACGAGUAGGGCUACACACGUGCUACAAUGGUCGGUACAGAGGGUUGCGAAGCCGCGAGGUGGAGCUAAUCCCAGAAAGCCGGUCGUAGUCCGGAUUGGAGUCUGCAACUCGACUCCAUGAAGUCGGAAUCGCUAGUAAUCG